rnacentral:rRNA from 1 species
ACCUGGUUGAUUCUGCCAGUAGUCAUAUGCUUGUCUCAAAGAUUAAGCCAUGCAUGUCUAAGUAUAAGCAAUUACAAAGCGAAACUGCGAAUGGCUCAUUAUAUAAGUUAUCGUUUAUUUGAUAGUACCUUACUACAUGGAUAACCGUGGUAAUUCUAGAGCUAU